rnacentral:rRNA from 1 species
GACGAACGCUGGCGGCGUGCCUAAUACAUGCAAGUCGAACGGAAAGGCCCUGCUCUUGCGGGGCGCACGAGUGGCGAACGGGUGAGUAACACGCGAGUAACCUGCCCUUGUCUUAGGGAUAACAUCAGGAAAAAGGGGCUCAUACCGGGUAGGAUCUCCUGAUGCACGGGGGGGGUUGGAAAGAUUCGGCGGUUGGGGAUGGACUCGCGGCUUAUGAGCUGGUUGGUGGAGUAGUGGCGUACCAAGGCUUUGACGGGUAGCCGGCCUGGGAGGGUGACCGGCCACCUUGCUCCUGCGGUACGGCCCAGUCUCCUACGGUAGGCAGCGGUGGGGAGUCUUGCGCAAUGGCCGGACGCCUGUUGCGACGGCGCCGCGUGCGUGAUGCCCUCCUUCGGGUUGUAAACCGCUUUCGCCUUUACCGAGGCGUGAGUGACGGUAAUGGGUAAGGAAGCACCGGCUAACUACGUG